CCUACGGGAGGCAGCAGUGAGGAAUAUUGGUCAAUGGACGAGAGUCUGAACCAGCCAAGUAGCGUGAAGGAUGACUGCCCUAUGGGUUGUAAACUUCUUUUAUAUGGGAAUAAAAUGUUCCCCGUGUGGGAUUUUGUAUGUACCAUAUGAAUAAGGAUCGGCUAACUCCGUGCCAGCAGCCGCGGUAAUACGGAGGAUCCGAGCGUUAUCCGGAUUUAUUGGGUUUAAAGGGAGCGUAGGUGGAUUGUUAAGUCAGUUGUGAAAGUUUGCGGCUCAACCGUAAAAUUGCAGUUGAAACUGGCAGUCUUGAGUACAGUAGAGGUGGGCGGAAUUCGUGGUGUAGCGGUGAAAUGCUUAGAUAUCACGAAGAACUCCGAUUGCGAAGGCAGUUCACUGGACUGCAACUGACACUGAGGCUCGAAAGCGUGGGUAUCAAACAGGAUUAGAUACCCCAGUAGUC
rnacentral:rRNA from 1 species